UUGGACCUGAUAUCAGGCAAGAUUACCCGCUGAA
rnacentral:ncRNA from 4 species